rnacentral:tRNA from 1 species
ACGGGUAUGAUGGAAUUGGUAGACAUGUCAGGUUUAGGUUCUGAUGAGUUUUUCGUGGGGGUUCAAGUCCCUUUGCCCGUA